UACGUAGGGUGCGAGCGUUGUCCGGAAUUACUGGGCGUAAAGAGCUCGUAGGCGGUCUGUCGCGUCGGGAGUGAAAACUCAGGGCUUAACCCUGAGCCUGCUUCCGAUACGGGCAGACUAGAGGUAUGCAGGGGAGAACGGAAUUCCUGGUGUAGCGGUGAAAUGCGCAGAUAUCAGGAAGAACACCCGUGGCGAAGGCGGCUCUCUGGGACGGUACUGACGCUGAGACGCGAAAGCGUGGGGAGCGAACAGG
rnacentral:rRNA from 1 species